UAACAAGGUUUCCGUAGGUGAACCUGCGGAAGGAUCAUUACCGAGUGAGGGCCCUCUGGGUCCAACCUCCCCACCCGUGUUUAUUUUACCUUGUUGCUUCGGCGGGCCCGCCUUAACUGGCCGCCGGGGGGCUUACGCCCCCGGGCCCGCGCCCGCCGAAGACACCCUCGAACUCUGUCUGAAGAUUGUAGUCUGAGUGAAAAUAUAAAUUAUUUAAAACUUUCAACAACGGAUCUCUUGGUUCCGGCAUCGAUGAAGAACGCAGCGAAAUGCGAUACGUAAUGUGAAUUGCAAAUUCAGUGGAAUCAUCGAGUCUUUGAAACGCACAUUGCGCCCCCUGGUAUUCCGGGGGGCAUGCCUGUCCGAGCGUCAUUUCUGCCCUCAAGCACGGCUUGUGUGUUGGGCCCCGUCCUCCGAUCCCGGGGGACGGGCCCGAAAGGCAGCGGCGGCACCGCGUCCGGUCCUCGAGCGUAUGGGGCUUUGUCACCCGCUCUGUAGGCCCGGCCGGCGCUUGCCGAUCAACCCAAAUUUUUAUCCAGGUUGACCUCGGAUCAGGUAGGGAUACCCGCUGAACUUAAGCAUAUCAAUAAGC
rnacentral:rRNA from 1 species